CGGAUCGGAGAGGAGAUGCCAGCCAGGGAUCCAUCCUGAAACAAAACACAGUCACUCCGGGGUUAGUUGGCAAGUCCAAACACGGCAUUGGGAAGCAGAGGUCCUGUCCUCCCUCUGAGCACAGUCCCGGCUCAGCGUCUGCCCCGGAGAGGCUGCAAGGCAAGAGGAGCAGCGGCGUUAAUCUGCUGACAGGGAGUCACGCUUCAGGAACCUGCAAGAGAGGGGAAGAGAAAAGCGACACAAAAGCGUCCUACAAAGGAACAGACCCGACCACAGCUGGAAGGAAGGCAAACCUUUGAAUCAGGUCCUUGAAAUACAAGCUGCAGGAAGCUAGAACAUUUUGGUGGACUUCAAACUCUCUGCCUUCAACAACAAUUUUCAG
rnacentral:lncRNA from 1 species